AUGGCGAUGGUUUCCGGUGAGCUGCCUGUGCCGGGUUGCUUACUGCACAGGCGUCGAUCGAUAGGGGUGAGAGAGGUCGUCGCGACGCUACUGAUUUCGCCAGGAUGUACCAGCUGAGCAGAAUAUCAUCGUUCGAAAAUCUUCACUGUCCACAUACAUACAUACUGAAUCGGACAGCUCGACUUUUCGUAGUCUGCGUUCGUAAAUUAUACAGUGUUUGUUCUCAGCUGUAUGAAAAAUCGAUCCGAGUCCAAAGGAAGAUCUCGAGUACCGUUCGUCUUGGUAGGCGGAACGGGGUGGAAAAAUUGUUAAUUGCCCAGCUUGGGGUAUAGGAACUUUCAUAAAUUACUAGGCGACCACGUCCAGCAAGGAGCAUUAGGUCAAGUUUCCAUGCCGCUGGCGCUCAAAGAGUACUGGGGGCAGAGAACAGGUUAGGUUACCUGAUGGCGCUUCGAUUUAACUACAAGCAUGAAAUGAAGAGCGGGGAAAGAACACCACUUCUCUAACGUGCUCACGACGUGCGGGUUCAACUUAAAACUGGGACAUACCACUUCACCAAGAGGCUGAGUGGUGUCCCGCUGACAAGGUGAUUGCACCGCUUUAAUGCGCUACGAUACGGCACGUCAAGAUAGUCCCUGCAUUACGAAACGGACUGUCCGGCAUUCAGGUAAACUAGGAAUAUUUUCAACUAAAACUACUUUUCUUGUGCCAAGUAUAGACCUUCAUGAAUAUCAGACCAGAAGCGUAUCGAUCCCAUUGUUCACUGAGGUCAAAGUGUACCAGAGUACAUAACGGGCUAUGGUAACCGAGCAUAUCCAUACAGUACGGUAUAUAUACGACUUUGAAAAAAGUUCCUGGUAAGCUGGUGCUACCAGUAGCUGGUAUUCAACAUACCCCGAGGUACAUCAACCCUGGUCAUACAUCUCUAUCACAAGAAGAAUCUCCAGUGAAUUCGUUUAAAGAAUAGAAACUUGGCUGUUGAUUGGAAGCUUAAGGAAAGCCAGAAUAUUAAUAGUGUGUAAUGUUCGCUCGUGCUAAUGCGUAUUUUCCCUCGGGUUAGCGUGCACGACGUAAUAUGCGAUCUAGGCGUACACGCACCUUCCUCGGCCACAUGCGAGCUUUAACACAGAAGAAACUUUAUAGCUCUAUGUGCAAUCUCAACUCUUGUCAAGUGUUCUCGAGGUUACUUUACGCUAGGUACGAUCGAUCGUACGAGUAUACUCCGCUUAUUUCUUUUUUGCUGUAGGGCAGUAUCUUCCGUUUCCGAUAUUCUGUCCAGACAGUAGCCACACGUAUCUCACCCAAAGAAUGCUCCUACACCCAAUACGGCAUCAAUCUAACGGCUGAAAGGUAUCAAUUUACCUAGUGUACGAAGAGGAGGUUAUGCCAUGAUGAAAGGCACGAUAUAUUGGUUUAUUCAACA